UACGGGGGGGGGCAAGCGUUUGUUCGGAAUUAUUGGGGCGUAAAAGGGGCGCGUAGGCGGGUGCGGGUAAAGUCUGCGGGUGAAAAUCUCCCCGGCUCAACUGGGGAGUCUGCCCGUGGGAAAACUGCCCGUGCUUGAGUGUGGGGGAGAGGGUGAGUGGGAAAUUUCCCCGGGUGUAGCGGGUGAAAAUGCGUAGAUAUCGGGGGAAGGGAAACACCCUGUGGGCGAAAAGCGGGCUCACUGGGACCACAACUGACGCUGAGGGCGCGAAAAGCUAGGGGGGAGCAAACAGGG
rnacentral:rRNA from 1 species